rnacentral:rRNA from 1 species
CAGCAGCCGCGGUAAUACGUAGGUCCCGAGCGUUGUCCGGAUUUAUUGGGCGUAAAGCGAGCGCAGGCGGUUAGAUAAGUCUGAAGUUAAAGGCUGUGGCUUAACCAUAGUACGCUUUGGAAACUGUUUAACUUGAGUGCAAGAGGGGAGAGUGGAAUUCCAUGUGUAGCGGUGAAAUGCGUAGAUAUAUGGUGGAACACCGGUGGCAAAAGCGGCUCUCUGGCUUGUAACUGACGCUGAGGCUCGAAAGCGUGGGGAGCAAACAGGAUUAGAUACCCGCGUAGUCCCUGUCUCUUAUACA